AGGAAAGAGAAGCCUCCCAUUUCUGUGGGUGGAAGCUGAGAGAAUGAAUCUUAAGGUGCCAAGAAAGUGGGGCUGGCCCUGCUGUGGAGGAACAGGGAGGAACGAACAUCAAAAGGAAAUCAGAAAGGUAGAAAUGACACAUAAUAUAUACUCCUGCAAGAUACUUAUUAACAGGAUUCUUCCAGGAAGACACAUGAAACUCAUUCCUGGGUGGAGAAACCCGGCUGGCUUCUGUCACAGAGAGAAGCAGACACGUAUGGCUGUCAUCAUGGGAAGGAGUGUAUGAACUAUUUCACACCUUGGUGCCUUCACCUGUGCUAUUACCAGUCCUGGAAGACCAGCCUUCACCCUUAUCCUAUUCCAUGAGGAAGCCUUCCCUGAUGCCGCUGCUCUCCUGUGGUUGCCCUUCUUCCUGUUACACCCUUCACUCCUAUGUCCUAGCACC